rnacentral:rRNA from 1 species
GGAUGAACGCUGGCGGCGUGCCUAACACAUGCAAGUCGAACGUGAUCUCUAUACUUGUAUAGGGUGAAAGUGGCGAACGGGUGAGUAACACGUUGGUGACCUGCCCCGAGGAGCGGGAUAACUCCUUGAAAGAGGAGCUAAUACCGCAGAUGACUGGACUGUUAGAGGGUCCAGCCUAAAGCUCAGGCGUCUCGGGAGGGGCCUGCGGGCUAUCAGCUAGUUGGUGGGGUAAGAGCCUACCAAGGCGAAGACGGCUAGGGGGCGUGAGAGCGUGACCCCCCACAAGGGAACUGAGAAACGGUCCCUACUCCUACGGGAGGCAGCAGUGAGGAAUAUUGAGCAAUGGGCGCAAGCCUGACUCAGCAACGCCGCGUGGAUGAAGAAGGCCUUCGGGUUGUAAAAUCCUUUUCUGAGGGACGAUAAUGACGGUACCUCAGGAAUAAGUUCCGGCUAACUACGUGCCAGCAGCCGCGGUAAAACGUAGGGGACAAGCGUUAUCCGGAUUUACUGGGCGCAAAGCGCCCGUAGGCGGCUUAACAAGUUGGAUGUGAAAGCUCCCGGCUUAACUGGGAGAGGUCAUUCAAAACUGUUAGGCUAGAGGAUGGAAGAGGAGAGCGGAAUUCCCGGUGUAGUGGUGGAAUGCGUAGAGAUCGGGAGGAACACCAGUGGCGAAAGCGGCUCUCUGGUUCACACCUGACGCUGAGGGGCGAAAGCGUGGGGAGCGAACGGGAUUAGAUACCCCGGUAGUCCACGCUGUAAACGAUGGAUACUAGGUGUAGAGGGUCAUUAACCCCCUCUGUGCCGCAGCUAACGCGUUAAGUAUCCCGCCUGGGGAGUACGGCCGCAAGGUUAAAACUCAAAGGAAUUGACGGGGGCCCGCACAAGCGGCGGAGCAUGUGGAUUAAUUCGAUGCAACGCGAAGAACCUUACCUGGGUUUGACAUGCACAGGACGCGUCUAGAGAUAGGCGUUCCCUUGUGGCCUGUGUGCAGGUGGUGCAUGGUUGUCGUCAGCUCGUGUCGUGAGAUGUUGGGUUAAGUCCCGCAACGAGCGCAACCCUUGUCUCAUGUUGCCAGCACGUCAUGGUGGGGACUCGUGAGAGACUGCCGGGGUCAACUCGGAGGAAGGUGGGGAUGACGUCAAGUCAUCAUGCCCCUUAUGUCCAGGGCUUCACACAUGCUACAAUGGCCGGUACAAAGGGCUGCGAUGCCGUGAGGUGGAGCGAAUCCUUUCAAAGCCGGUCUCAGUUCGGAUCGGGGUCUGCAACUCGACCCCGUGAAGUCGGAGUCGCUAGUAAUCGCAGAUCAGCAACGCUGCG